CCUACGGGUGGCAGCAGUGGGGAAUACUGCACAAUGGGCGCAAGCCUGAUGCAGCCAUGCCGCGUGUAUGAAGAAGGCCUUAGGGUUGUAAAGUACUUUCAGUUGGGAGGAAGGCGUUGAUGCUAAUAUCAUCAACGAUUGACGUUACCAACAGAAGAAGCACCGGCUAACUCCGUGCCAGCAGCCGCGGUAAUACGGAGGGUGCAAGCGUUAAUCGGAAUUACUGGGCGUAAAGCGCACGCAGGCGGUUGAUUAAGUUAGAUGUGAAAUCCCCGGGCUUAACGUGGGAAUGGCAUCUAAGACUGGUCAGCUAGAGUCUUGUAGAGGGGGGGUAGAAUUCCAUGUGUAGCGGUGAAAUGCGUAGAGAUGUGGAGGAAUACCGGUGGCGAAGGCGGCCCCCCGGACAAAGACUGACGCUCAGGUGCGAAAGCGUGGGGAGCAAACAGGAUUAGAUACCCUCGUAGUC
rnacentral:rRNA from 1 species